GACGAACGCUGGCGGCGUGCUUAACACAUGCAAGUCGAACGGAAAGGCCCUGCUUUUGUGGGGUUCUCGAUUGGCGAACGGGGGAGUAACACGUGAGUAACCUCCCCUUGACUUUCUGAGAACUUUAGGAAACUGGGGCGAAUACCGGAUAUGAGCUCCUGCUGCAUGGGGUGGGUUGGAAAGAUGCGGCGGUUGGGGAUGUACUCGCGGCUUACCAGCUUGUUGGGGGGGUAGUGGCUUUCCAAGGCUUUGACGGGUAGCCGGCCUGAGAGGGUGACCGGCUACAUUGGGACUGAGAUGCGGCCCAGACUCAUACGGGAGGCAGCAGUGGAGACUAUUGCGAGAUGGGCGGAAGGCUGAUGCAGCAACGCCGCGUGCGGGAUGACGGCCUUCGGGGUGUAAAAAGCUUUCGCCUGUGAAGACGCGUGAGUGACGGUAAUGGGUAAAGAAGCACCGGCUAACUACGU
rnacentral:rRNA from 1 species